GGUAGUUUUAGUCGUAACAAGGUUUCCGUAGGUGAACCUACUGGAAGGAUCAUUGUCGAAUCCUGCACAGCAGUACCACUCGCGAACAAGUUCACAAACGAGGGGCGGACCGGGCGUGCCCGACACCCGUCCCUCACGGCGCCCGGGCGAUCCGUCCGCGCGCCUAACAAACCCCCGGCGCGAGAAGCGCCAAGGAAUACUCUAACAAGGGCCGGAUCCGUCCCCUCCCGUUCGCGGGGUCGGGGGAUCGGGGAACGCUCCUUCAUAAACUGAAACGACUCUCGGCAACGGAUAUCUCGGCUCUCGCAUCGAUGAAGAACGUAGCGAAAUGCGAUACUUGGUGUGAAUUGCAGAAUCCCGUGAACCAUCGAGUCUUUGAACGCAAGUUGCGCCUGAAGCCAUUAGGCCGAGGGCACGUCUGCAUGGGCGUCACGCAUCGGGUCACCCCUCCCCCGAUCUCGGGGGCGGGGUGGAAUGUGACCUCCUGUGCCUCCCGGCGCAGCUGGUCGAAAUUCGAGUCCGGAGCUCAGGACGUCACGACAAGUGGUGGUUGGAAAACAACUCUCGUGCUGUCGUGCGCCGAGACCCUCGAGACUGUGAAGACCCUGGAGCGCACGUCGUCCUUCCCCUCGGGGACGGGGCGCUUGUGCUACGACCGCGACCCCAUGUCAGCGGAU
rnacentral:rRNA from 1 species